rnacentral:rRNA from 1 species
CCUACGGGAGGCUGCAGUGGGGAAUAUUGCACAAUGGGCGCAAGCCUGAUGCAGCCAUGCCGCGUGUGUGAAGAAGGCCUUCGGGUUGUAAAGCACUUUCAGCGGGGAGGAAGGCGGUGAGGUUAAUAACCUUAUCGAUUGACGUUACCCGCAGAAGAAGCACCGGCUAACUCCGUGCCAGCAGCCGCGGUAAUACGGAGGGUGCAAGCGUUAAUCGGAAUUACUGGGCGUAAAGCGCACGCAGGCGGUCUGUCAAGUCGGAUGUGAAAUCCCCGGGCUCAACCUGGGAACUGCAUUCGAAACUGGCAGGCUAGAGUCUUGUAGAGGGGGGUAGAAUUCCAGGUGUAGCGGUGAAAUGCGUAGAGAUCUGGAGGAAUACCGGUGGCGAAGGCGGCCCCCUGGACAAAGACUGACGCUCAGGUGCGAAAGCGUGGGGAGCAAACAGGAUUAGAUACCCUAGUAGUC